rnacentral:rRNA from 1 species
CCGAAGUUUCCCUCAGGAUAGCUGGAGCCCAUUACGAGUUCUAUCAGGUAAAGCCAAUGAUUAGAGGCAUUGGGGACGCAACGUCCUCGACCUAUUCUCAAACUUUAAAUAGGUAGGAUGGCGCGGCUGCUUCGGUGAGCCGUGCCAUGGAAUCGGGUGCUCCAAGUGGGCCAUUUUUGGUAAGCAGAACUGGCGAUGCGGGAUGAACCGGAAGCCGGGUUACGGUGCCCAACUGCGCGCUAACCUAGAACCCACAAAGGGUGUUGGUCGAUUAAGACAGCAGGACGGUGGUCAUGGAAGUCGAAAUCCGCUAAGGAGUGUGUAACAACUCACCUGCCGAAUCAACUAGCCCCGAAAAUGGAUGGCGCUGAAGCGCGCGACCCACACCCGGCCAUCUGGGCGAGCGCCAUGCCCC